rnacentral:rRNA from 1 species
AUGUGGCAGGCCCGAGCAACUUUGCCAUUACAGGGCCAUCAUGUGGUACUAGUGGAUGGAACCAGAGCAGUUCUACCACGAAAGUUUAUAAGAGAAGGCAAUUUGAUAGUAAUUGGAGCUCAGAUGCAACACAACAAGAUGGUAACCCAAGUUGGAAGAAAGCAAAUGUGGCAGGCCAGGGCAACUUUGCCAUUACAGGGCCAUCUAGCUCUGGUGGAUGGAGUAGAAAGACCAAUAAUCUUGGUAGAGGUCGAGGUGGUGGUAGAGGUGCAGGAUGGCAUCAAGCUUUCUGGAGAUGAUGAGAGGUUCAUUGUUGAAAAUAUUCUCAUGUACCACCCAGAGAAGGAAAAGAAGAUGGCAGGGAAUAACAAUUACAUAACGGUUGCUAAGCAUCAAAAGUUCCAUAGCUCCAGGUGCUUGUACGUCGUGUCCUCAGACGGCCCUCCUACAGAUUUCUCCUACAAGAAGUGCCUAGAGAACAUGAUCAGGAUUCACUACCCACGUGAUGCAAGUUCAUUCUGCAGAAAGUACUUCCAGUGA